UUUUUUUACUCAUUUCAAACCUUUUUUUUCUUUUCUUUUCAUUUUAGCAUAUACCUCGAGAAGCACAAGCCUUCAUGUUCACAUUUUUCGAAGGCAGUUCAAUAUUGAGGCAUGCAAUGCAAGAGAGAAAGAGCAACACUUUUCUUUUCCUUUUCCUUGUUUUUUCUGAAGAGACUUGUUCCGGAGGAAGAGGUUCUCUUUUACAACUGACUAAUAAUAAUCUCAAACAAAAGUUGGACACCAAGACUAUUUCUUUCCUUCCAGCCAGUCAACAUGAAAAUUGGAACGUUUUUCUUGUCUUUUCUUUGUUUUUGGGAAGCUAAUAAUAAUAAAAGUAUUUAUAACCAAAGUACCAAACCAAACCUAACAACUUCUUCAUCUUCAAAACAACUGUAUUAUUUUAUUUUAUUUUUGGGGUCAAGAUUCCAUAAUAUAUUUGGAUUGUUCGUAUAAAAGGGUCUAUGAAAGCUAGUCAGUGUGGCUUGCAGUCUGCCAAUGUUGUAGGUUUCUUGAAACGAGUCAUACACAGGGGGGGCUUGGCUUGGGCUCAUAAUGGGGUCCAAUGAAAGAAGAUGAGCUAUAAUAGGCUUCCAAACCAAACCAAGCACAUGUACCACUACCAACCUCUUCACUCACUAGAAAGUCUCGUUUAUAUCCCUAGUUUGUAUUUGUCUUUGUCUUUCAUGGGAUGGACAACAACUAGUCUACUCUUCUUCUUUUCUUCUCAUGGAAAAUACAUGAACAACAAAAAUCAGACCGUUAAUCCUAUUCCUAUUUCACUUCACAAAACAUCUCUUAUUACAAUAUAUAUAUAUAUGAUUAUAAUAAGUUCACAGUACAGCUGUAACGCUUUUGGCGGUGACAGCAGCAUCAACCAUUUACCAUCCAUUUCAGCCUACAAAGAAAACUCGACCACCUAUCCCAUACUCUCUUAGGUUUCUUUUGCUCUCCUCGAUGAACGAGAGAGAGAGAGAGAGAGAGCAUUAAAAUCAACCCGCAACAUGAAUUGACAACUGCAUUUGAUCAAAACAGCAACACUGUGAAGUAGAUGGAUAGAUGCAUAGUUGAAAGAGAGAAAGAGAAAAAAGAAAGAAUUAACUAUAGACUAGUAAGUAAAUAACACCAAAACAAAACAAAUAAAAACAAAAUAAAUGCAUUUUUCAGCCAAAAGAAUCCAAAAAAACCAGCACAUUGAAACUCGAAAAUAUUGAUUUUUCUUUGUCAAACUAAUAAUUGCAGCCCCAGUAGUAGUGUAGUGGUGUGUAUGAGUGUAUCAGCCUGGUGAUAUGAUAGAGAAGAAACAGUGAUAUUUUGAAUUGUGUUGUAUGGUACGAUCCCUGUUCCCUCUCUAUAGUCAACAGUCUAAGACUACUCUACCACACCAGCAAAAGCAUGCUCUAUGGACAGAGGGCAUGUGUGUAUAUAUAUAUAUUUACUCAUAUACUUGAUGAGUAAUGAGUUCUAUGAGAGAGGGAGGGCAACCCAAACUCUCCUCUACCAGUAGUUAUGAUCUAUCUGUCCACACUGCCAGGCAACUCUAUACUAUCUCCACCUGUGAUCCCUAAUAGCCCUUAUUUAUCCAGCUAUUCCUAUCUACCUAUAACUCUAUGUAGCUGCCUUCUUAGCUGUUCUAACUCUCUCUCUCUCUCUCUCUUUCUAUCUAUCUACACAUAUUUUUCAAUCUUUUUUGGCCCUGCCCACGUAACUAUAUUCUUCUUUUGUUCUAUCAAUAUUUUCACAAUGAGCUUGUUGUUGGUUUUAUUAUAUUUUAUUAAAAAAAAUCCUUGAGCAUAUAUUUUGUCUUCAACCCCCCCCUAUAACCCCUGACCCCCCCUAUAAAUAUAACAAAUACCCAGCUUCUGAAGAAUAAAUCUUUCAAUAGCUACUACUUCCUUGUAAAGUUUUUUCUUCUUAUGAUACAAAGUUUUAAACUUUAUUCCAAGAUUAUGUAUAUAUAUAUAUUCCUGGUUGUUGUGUAUGUUCGUAGUUUGAAUGUUCUCAAAGGGAAAAAGUGAAGCUGCCAGCAUGAUCUAGCUUCGUUUAGUAGAAAAGAAUAAGUAUAUGAAUACUAAUCUUAGCUAGGUCAUGCUGUGACAGCCUCACUCCUUCCUGUUUGGGGAUCAAUAUUUUGGUGGCAAAAACGAUCUUAAAUCAACAUCUCUGAUCAUAGAAGAAAGAAAAAGCAAAAGGGUAAGAGAGUUUGGUUGAACUACUCACUGUGAGUUAUUUGACUGAAGACUUUGCUUUGCGUGCAAUCAACCCCAUGUGACAAAAGAAGCCCCCUUGCUGAUUUUUAUUUUUUUUUAUAAAUUUUUGAAAUUUAUUACUUCAUAUAUAUAUGUAUGAUUAAGCGUAAUAUUGUUCAAAAAGUUUUUGACCGGUAUAUGUAAUCAUAUAUUUUUCCAGUCGUGGGAAGCUUAAACCCCGUUUUCAUUGUAUACAUAUUAAUAUAUAUAUAUAUAUGUAUAUAUAAUCUGUUUUGUACUGUAAAGCCGAGCUUUGUAAUAGUACAUUUUACAGUUAUAUAUAGCACUGAUUUUGGAGUGCAUGAACUUUUGAAAAGAUACUAUAAAUUCAUUACAUUAUUUAUUUGUAUGCUCUUGAACUUUUGAAGAAAAUAAACGAAAACGAGCCUAGGUCCUGGAUUUGUUUAUAUAUAUUAACCAAAUUGCAAGAUUAACUUGGGCUAAAUUUUCUUUUGAUAAUUAUUUAUUUUGAUGUGAUUUUUUAACUAUUUAACUGAUUGUUUAGCUAUUUUAAUAUUUAUUGAGCUCUAGUUGCCGGUCAACUACGACACCAGUUUGGUUAUUAGUCUAAUCUAUGUCUAGUUGUGUGUUUUAGAUUAGUCUAUUAUUAUUAUUGGUGGUGGUGAUCUGUAUUAUAUGGAAAAACCUUUUGUAAAAGUUAAUAUAGCUGACCUUUAAAAAUUAAAAAUAAAGCUGAAAACACAAAAAAAUUAUUUUUAUAUAUACAAGUAUAUUUAUAUUUAUAUAAUUUUGAACUGUUAGAUUUCAGAUUUCUAUGUUGAUUGAUUCCAUUUUUGUAUGAUUUUAUCAAUAUUUGUUUAUGAAAACUCGAAACAGUUGUCUUUGGAAGUAGUGAAGAGUUUCUGUCUUCAAUGACAUUUUGAGAGAGAUGUAGUGUUUAUCUAUCUAUAUAUAACCAUUUUCCUUCAUAUUUAGUGUAGUGUCUUACACAAGAAAUCAUAAGAUAAAACUAGUGAUAUUGUUUCAAAUUCAUAUAAAUAUAAUUCAAAUACACGAGAGAGAUAAAAGAAAAGAGGUACAUGUUAUUUUAAGGUUUUGGAGUAGUACAAUUAUUAUUGUAUCUUUACCUAGUUUCCACAAAAUCACCUUAUUAAUCAUAGCAGUUUUGAAGUUGAGCCGGUGGUUCAAUUUAAGAGCUUUGACAUGUGCGCUCAAAAUUGAUCCCAAAUAAUAAAUUUUGAGAUCUAUUGUAUAUUAUUUUUAAGUGCACAUAUCAUUGCUCUUUAAAAACAAUCAGAUUGGGUUUGAACCAUUACAUUGUAACGUAUCAUGUAUUUGAUUUAAGGUCGGUGGAAAAAUGAUGCUCAUUUUCACGUAAAGGAAAAAUCUUCCAAUGACUGAGUGGAACAUAAAUUGUAAAAUUAUUUGUAGCCCAGUCCUCUUUGAAUUGAUAACGAUAGAAAGAACUAGCUUUGGAAAAAAGGAAACUAAAGAGUUGAAAAAGACGGGAAACAAUGAAAAAAAGUGGACAUUAUAUUUAUUGAUCUACCGAAAGUGCAAUUUUAAUAAACACAUAAUAAUUAUAUAAUAUUAGUGGCAUAGAAUAGUAAAGAAAGAAGGAAAAAGACCACAUAAACUACCUUUGAUGGGGUCUAAUUAAUCAUUUCUAGUAUGAUCGAUCUAACCAAUAAGUUUCUAGUUUCUUCAAUAAUGUGUAUUAAAUCAUACACAUGAUGUUAACCACAAUUUAUCUCAAAAUGAGACCCACACUUGAUUUUUUAUUUAUUUUAAAUUGUGGUCAGUCCAUGCCACCCUUUUAAAUUUUGUGGUUCAGUCCUUGCCAGGCGUGCUGGUUUUGGUGUAAAUAAUUAUUGGUUCCUUCUAUACUCUUCAAGUAUAUCUCAAUUUCAUUCAAUUUUUUUUCUUCACAAUGUAUCAACUUUAUCUUGAUUGAAAUUACGUUGUAACGACUAUGUAAUCCUAUUAUAAGCUAGAGAAAAGUUAAAUUACAAAACUCUA